UACGUAGGGGGCUAGCGUUGUCCGGAAUCAUUGGGCGUAAAGCGCGUGUAGGCGGUCCGGUAAGUCCGCUGUGAAAGUCGGGGGCUCAACCCUCGGAUGCCGGUGGAUACUGUCGGGCUUGAGUACGGAAGAGGCGAGUGGAAUUCCUGGUGUAGCGGUGAAAUGCGCAGAUAUCAGGAGGAACACCAAUUGCGAAGGCAGCUCGCUGGGACGUUACUGACGCUGAGACGCGAAAGCGUGGGGAGCAAACCGG
rnacentral:rRNA from 1 species